AAAUUUAUAGUUUAAUCACCCAAUUUAUCUCACCCUUUUUUGGAGUAUAAGAGCAACGGAUCCAAAACACUUACUAUCAGUAGGUACCUAACCAUUGGCAGUCACGAUAUCUACUUGUUCAACAUGAAGAGUAUUGUUAUGAUUUCUACUUUCGUUGUGAUGAUGUUACUCGUCGCCCAUCUUGGCAACGUAGAAGCGGGAGGAUUCAGUUUGGGCUGCACCAUAUCUUGUGGAAUUUGGAAUGCAUGUCGUGGAAAGUCUGCGCUAUCGGGAAGUCUCACACAAUGUGGACCAGAACCUUCAGGCUGUCGCUGUACAUCUUUUUAUUGGGAAUAACCAAUUGAUCUACUUUAUUAGAAUUAGAGCCUUAUUUAUUAAUAAACGUUUCUACUUAA